UGUCCAACCUAAGCAUCCAGCCUAGAGGUUCAACCAAGGUUCACCCAUAAUGUUGUCCCAUAGUGUCCAACCUUAGAGACCAACCUUAGAUUCCACCAGUCCAACCUUAGGUCCAACCUGAGGUUCACCUAUAGAAUUGGAUCACCCUGGAGUCCGACCUUAGAUGUUAGUUUAAGUCCAUCCCCAUGUAUAGACUUUAGAGUUCAUCUUUAGGUUCACCCUU
rnacentral:lncRNA from 1 species